UACGUAGGGCGCGAGCGUUGUCCGGAAUUAUUGGGCGUAAAGAGCUCGUAGGCGGCCUGUCGCGUCGGUUGUGAAAGCCCGGGGCUCAACCCCGGGUCUGCAGUCGAUACGGGCAGGCUAGAGUUCGGUAGGGGAGAUCGGAAUUCCUGGUGUAGCGGUGAAAUGCGCAGAUAUCAGGAGGAACACCGGUGGCGAAGGCGGAUCUCUGGGCCAUUACUGACGCUGAGGAGCGAAAGCGUGGGGAGCGAACAGG
rnacentral:rRNA from 1 species